GACAGAACCAGGGCUAUCAAAGGAGGCUGACUUUGUACUAUCUGAUAUGCAUGUGUUUGUGGCCUGUGAGUCUAUGAUGUAAGGCUCAGUGUCCUUACAAAGCAGCAUUCUCUCAUCCAUUUUUCUUCCCCUGUUUUCUUUCAGACUGUGGCUUCACCUCCGAGUCUUACCAGCAAGGGGUCCUGUCUGCCACCAUCCUCUAUGAGAUCUUGCUAGGGAAGGCCACCUUGUAUGCCGUGCUGGUCAGUGCCCUCGUGCUGAUGGCCAUGGUCAAGAGAAAGGAUUCCAGAGGCUAGCUCCAAAACCAUCCCGGGUCAUUCUUCAUCCACACCCAGGAUUCUCCUGUACCUGCUCCCAAUCUGUGUUCCUAAAAGUGAUUCUCACUCUGCUUCUCAUCUCCUACUUACAUGAAUACUUCCCUCUUUUUUCUGUUUCCCUGAAGAUUGAGCUCCCAACCCCCAAGUAUGAAAUAGGCUAAACCAAUAAAAAAUGGUGUGUUAGGCCUG
rnacentral:lncRNA from 1 species